UGCAGCUGGGCUGGUCAGUACUGAGGGCUGCACCUGGGCAGGUGGCACCCAACCCCACUCGCUUAAAUUGCCCUGAGGAGAAGCUCUUCCUCCUCUAGCAGAUGGAAAGAAGGGAAGUGUGGGGUAGCUGCUGUGCCCCUUCCAGCAUGCCUGGGUCACAGAGGGGAGCUUGGAGCACCAUGGUGGGGUUUGGCAUGCUGAGGUUUUGCUGGCAUGGACUCACAUCUGGUCGUGAUGGAGACUGGGCCUGGAGAGAAGCCUCACUGAGCAGAGGCACCAGGCACUGUGAUCAAACACCGGGCUGUUGGACUGAGAUAAAAGGUGUCUGCUUCUAACGUCGUUGGCUAACAACACGGCUGCUCGUGGUGGAGCAAAGUCCCCUGACCCAGGGGUGAAGCCAGAAAUGAUUUUUUUUGAAGAAGCGUGCAGCCUGCCUCCAGAAUGAGCCUUAAAACGGUGCAAGGCAGGAACAAAGUGGUUGUCUGUGCUCUGGUUAAAGCAAAACGUUUAGCUGGAGAGCCCUGGGAAGCAACAGAGGACAAGCUGUUGAUUCACUCUGCAGCAUCUGCCUGGUGAGUUGCUCCUCCUUGCACCCAGCAGGAAAGCUGGGCAAAGAAAGAGGCCUGACUUGUACCUUUCCAUCCUUACUGGUGGAAAAACUAUGAGCUGCACUAUUCAGGAAGUUAAACGCAGACCAUUGUGGCCUCCUUUGAGUAGUAUUCAUUCACCUGGAAGCCAAACUGAGGCUCUAGACGGACCCAAAUAUCUUUUGGGUAAGUACUGGAUCAGAACAAAUAACUCCUGUCAGUGUAGCUGACCUUGGAGAAUUUUAUUAGCUAAUUAAGAUGCCACACGCAAAGGGCAGAUUGAAACUACAGUCUCAGUUAAAAUUUAGCUACUCUCUUAAUUGAGUUGAAGAAGUCUGGCUUACAUCCUAAGCUGUUGGCAUCCUGUAUUGCUGUAAGAAUAUUACCAAUCAUUUUAUUGGAGAAUGCAAAUAUUAUCAAUGUCAUACUGAUGGAUGGCCUAGCAUGUAACAGGAUAGGGGAAAAGCUGGUAAUUUUAUAAAAUUGUAUAAAUUCUGCAGUGGGUUUGGCCCAGCAUACUGGAUCUCUGCGGUGGUUUCGAGGACACAGGAUGAACAGGGACUGUUUGCUUUGUCAGUUCCAAUGAAAAUAAAAUCGAGAUUUUCGGGAGCAGGGAGAAGGAAAAGCAAUUUUCCUGUAAUUGAUGUUGUGAAGCUCAUCAGAGAUCCUCCACUUUUAAGACUGUUUCAGCAAAGAAAUGACAGAUUUUUAAAUCCUCCCACACGGUGUAUUCAUAUAGCAGUAUCACUAAUUGUUGUGAUAGAAUAUUUACUCCUGAACACCGUCUUUCUUACAUGUGCAUGUGCUUGUCUGUAUCUAUCCAUCUUUCUAAACACAGCCUUUCUGUUUAGCUUAAAAGUCUUAUGGUUCACCUGAAACCAAAGAAGUAUUUAGCUGAAUUACGUUGCUCCAUUAAGACCUGUUCAAAGAUCUCUAGUCUCACAGACUCACGAUGCUUGGACAAAGAAUUCCCAAGGUGUUUAUAAAAAGAUAGUAAGAGGUCUGCUGCAAGCUGGUUGGAGUCAGAAACUUCUGAUUUCUAACUCAUUUGGAAGGAAUUUUGGACUUUGAGAGCCUUUCCUAAUCAAAAUGAAGACUAUAUUUCAUAAAUUGGUUUAUAUUCAGAACAGAGAAUUUGCAUUCAUGUAACUCAGUAGGCUAUGGAAGUACUUUUACAGCUAUACUGUCCUUUCAAGGGCUUCACGUUAAAAGUAGCAGAUGUGAUUGUAUUAUUAUUACAGGUCUGCAAAGAGCACAGACCUGGGGAGGGGAAGACUUUCCAACCACUGUGCAUUUGUGCAUAUGAAUAAUGGUAACAAUUAUACUUUCACUCCCCUUCUCAGCCAUUCCUGAUGGACUACAAUCAUGGCACUGAGAUGUAAUUUUUGGUUCAUUAUUUCACUCUUAGAGCCAUCAGGCUGAUCAGGUAACCUUUUCAAGUAUUUGGGGAUUUUUUUAGUUGUUUCUGACUCCACAAGAUAAUGGUAAAAUGCGUUCCAGUUCUUUGCUGAAAUAAUGGGGCUAGAUCCCUAGAGCGAGCUCUGAAGCAGGUGGGGAGCUGUGAAUCUUCCCACAUCAGCAGUGGUAUCGGGACAGAAAACUAACAGCAUCACCCUGUUGUCAUCUGACUGCAUGCAACGGGUGAAGAGGCUGUAACAUAACAGCUUGGCCAACCCAACUGUCUGACAGCAGAAAUCACUGUGACAGAAGGAAAGCCAUGUGGGUAUGGCUAUAAUCCAGCCCCACUACACAAGACCUUUUCCCUCUUAUUUUCUGCUAAUAAUAUCAGUCUCAAAGCUGAAGGGGAAUGGUUCACGCUUCUGAAGGAUUCACUGGAGAUCUGGACUCUUCCUGCUGCUUCUGGGCUCACCUGUAAGCAAGACGUGGCUGUAAUUCUGCCACAGAGGAAGUCUUUUGAAGGAAAAGGGCUGUCAUCCCAGAGCAACAUGGUAUGGGCAGAGCUAAUAAGCAUAAAUUCUUACGGUUCCCAUUGCAUAAAACAACAUCCUCUUUAUGAGUAGACAUUACUCAAGCUAUAAAUCCUACACACGUUUCCAUACUCUAUAAUAAACAUCUCUAGAACUGGCCAGGAAACAGCUGCUUUUUCCAGUUUGUUUACAUUUGUGGAGUGGGGGACCCCAUUUAAUGUUUGUUACACAACCCACUGCUGUUUAUACUGAUGGAUCCCUCUUCCCUGCUGCUUCCAGUGCCCUCUGGCCCUGGCCACAUCCUGCCCUGCCUAGCAGCGGCUGUACCAACCCUGGAACCUACUCUGCUGGUAUAAGGAAUUGUCUGGCUGUAUUUGUUCAAGCCGACAUCUUGCUUCCAGUGGUGCCUACGAACACUGCAAGAAGCAGCAGGCUUUUCUGGGCUGCCUGCUGGGAGCUGGAGCUGCCCGGCUGUGCCUGCUGGGUGCCUGCAGAGCGCUGGCUGCAGCAGCCCAAAGCCACUCCGGGGCCAGCUGGCAAAGACACCGUGCGGGUGACUGCAGGGAGAGCUCGUGCCUGUGCCUCAGCACUAAUUGGUUCUCUGGUAGAGGGGCACGGAAAUCCCCCAGAGAAUCUCAGACUGUAGAGAUAAACACCUAACACAGGGUAAACACAGAUGGCUGGGCUAUUGCUUCCAUGCCUCUGUGGCUGGGAUAUAAAGAUAGAAAAGUCUGCAAUUUUUGCUGCUUUUUCUAGGCACUUGGAGCAGCCCAGUUGUACUGUCUUGGCUGGAGAUUUUUUACUUUGAAAUCAUAUGGAUUACCUAGAAAAAUAAUCUCCCCUUCAUGAUAAAAUCCUUUUGGCAAAGGUGAAGAGGCUUGUGGUCUGUCUCAGCUAAACAAUACUGUCAAUUUUUAUUGAAUAAUCUACUGUGAAAGUAGUUGUGACUUUUUUUGUGUGCUCACGUGAUCAAGUUACAGUCAAUGAACAGAUUUUUACCCAGCCUCGAGCUCAGAGGUAAACCCUGGAUAUGCUGAUGCUGUGGGGAAACCCAGCCCUGCAAGGCUCUGCAGUUGAACUCGGUGCCGGGUAUCACAGCAGCCUGCCCAAGGGACAAACCCUUCCCUCUGCAGCUCCCUGAGAAAUGUCAAAUUCUAAGGAUUUUCUGAUGUUGUCUGCUAUGCUGGAUUGGGCUGCUUGGCUCUUUUUUAUUUUUUAUUUUUUAAAUUCUCUAGAAUAGAAAUGUCACCUCUGUGGUUCUCCAUUUCCACAAAAAAAACUCUUUAAUUUUUCCCAGAGCCAGCUAUAAGCCCAAUAGUAGAGGGAAGCAGCUGUGGUUUGUGUGCAUCUUUUUUUCCUUUUUUUUUUUU